rnacentral:lncRNA from 1 species
CUCAUCUAUAGCAGCACCCCAAUGUUCAUUAGGGCUGAAAUUAGGUCAGGUUAGGCUGGGCUCUACCCCUACCCAAGCCCGGCCCAAAAAAAUUUUUCAGGCUUUGGAUCGGGUUUAGGCCCAAUUAUUUUGGAAAAAAAACCAGCCCGAGCCUGGCCAGAUCCUAGGCCCAAGUGCGAUUGGGCUAGCCUGAGCCUACCUUCCUUCCCUUCAGC